rnacentral:rRNA from 1 species
AUGCGUGCGUUUAGGGAAACUUUGGAGGACUGCUCCUUGCAAGAUCUUGGUUAUACGGGGUUACCUUAUACAUGGGAUAACAGGAAGGCGGGCAAUAUGAAUGUCAAAGCCCUUCUUGACAGAGGACUGGCGAAUAAAGCGUUCUUACAAAUGUUCGACCAUGUACGAGUUCUUCACAUCAGCGUGGUGGAAUCAGACCACUGUUUGGUCUCGGUUCAGACUCAAGAUGUGCAAUAUAAAAGGGGACCGAAACCCUUUCGGUAUGAGGAUGUUUGGCAGUCCCAUGUGGAAUAUGAUAAGUUUGUCGCGGAGGCGUGGCGUAGAAACUGUACUGGACAGGGACUUGCAAGUAUUCAAGCCACUUUAACUCAGCUUCAGAGCAAGCUGGGGAAUUGGGGUGCUCGUGAGUUUGGUUGUCUAGCCAAGAAAGUA